GACUCUCGGCAACGGAUAUCUCGGCUCACGCAUCGAUGAAGAACGUAGCAAAAUGCGAUACUUGGUGUGAAUUGCAGAAUCCCGUGAACCAUCGAGUUUUUGAACGCAAGUUGCGCCCGAAGCCUUYUGGCCGAGGGCACGUCUGCCUGGGCGUCACGC
rnacentral:rRNA from 1 species